GGCGACCGGCGCAGGGGUGAUUAACGCGUAUGCAACCUACCUCUGACUGGAGAAUACCCCGAAAAAAUUCAGAUUAAUGCUCCAUAAGACCACGAUACCGCAUGAUAAAGUGGUAAAAGUUCCCACGGUUAGAGAUGGGCAUGCGUGCCAUUAGUUUGUUGGUGAGGUAAUGGCUCACCCAAGCAACCAUGGCUAGGGGGUCUGAGAGGAUGAUCCCCCACACUGGUACUGACACACGGACCACCCUCACACGGGAGGCAGCAGUGAGGAAUAUUGGUCAAUGGACACAAGUCUGAACGAGCCAUGCCCCGUGCUUGAUGAAUGCCCUAUGGGUUGUAAACUGCUUUUCUACAAAAAGAAACCCCUUGACCCAUCAAGGGCUGACGGAAUUGUAAGAAUAAGCAUCGGCUAACUCCCUGCCUGCAACCCCGGUAAUACGGACGAUGCAAGCGUUCUCCGGAUUCAUUGGGUUUAAAGGCUGCGUAGGCGUGGGUAGCAAGUCAGUGGUGAAAGCCUGCGGCUUAACCGUACACUUGCCAUUGAUACUGAUAUUCUUGAUUGCAGUGAGGUAGGCGGAAUGUGUAAUGUAGCGGUGAAAUGGUUAGAUAUUACACAGAACACCGAUUGCGUAGGCAGCUUACUAAACUGUUACUGACGCUGAGGCACGAAAGCGUGGAGAGCGAACAGGAUUAGAUACCCUGGUAGCCACGCUGUAAACGAUGAUCACUCGCUGUUGGCGAUACACUGUCAGCGGUUGAGAAAAAGCAUUAAGUGAUCCACCUGGGGAGUACGGCAGCAAGGUUGAAACUCAAAGGAAUUGACGGGGGCCCGCACAAGCGGUGGAACAUGUGGUUUAAUUCGAUGAUACGCGAGGAUCAUUACGUGUGGUUAAAUGCAGAACGAUGUACCGGGAAAAUGGUAUUCCCUUCGGGGCGGUCUGCAAGGUGCUGCAUGGUUGUCGUCAGCUCGUGCCGUGAGGUGUCGGGUUAAGUCCCAUAACGAGCGCAACCCUCAUCAUUAGUCACCAGCGAGUAAUGUCGGGGACUCUAACGAAACUGCCGGUGUAAACGGGGAGGAAGGGGGGGAUGACGUCAAAUCAGCACGGCCCUUAUGUCCAGGGCUACACACGUGUUACAAUGGCCAGUACAGAGGGCAGCCACCAGGGGACUGGAUGAUAAUCUCCAAAACUGGUCAUAGUUGGGAUUGAAGUGUGCAACUAGACUUCAAGAAGCUGGAAUCGCUAGUAAUCGCGCAUCACCCAGGGCGCGGUGAAUGCGUUCCCGCCCCUUGUACACCCCGUCCGUCAAGCCAGGAAAGCUUGGGGUACGUGAAGUC
rnacentral:rRNA from 1 species